GAUGAACGCUGGCGGCGUGCCUAAUACAUGCAAGUAGAACGCUGAAGGAAGGAGCUUGCUCUUUCCGGAUGAGUUGCGAACGGGUGAGUAACGCGUAGGUAACCUGCCUGGUAGCGGGGGAUAACUAUUGGAAACGAUAGCUAAUACCGCAUAACAGUAGAUGUUGCAUGAUAUCUACUUAAAAGGUGCAAUUGCACCACUACCAGAUGGACCUGCGUUGUAUUAGCUAGUUGGUGAGGUAACGGCUCGCCAAGGCGACGAUACAUAGCCGACCUGAGAGGGUGAUCGGCCACACUGGGACUGAGACACGGCCCAGACUCCUACGGGAGGCAGCAGUAGGGAAUCUUCGGCAAUGGACGGAAGUCUGACCGAGCAACGCCGCGUGAGUGAAGAAGGUUGUCGAAUCGUAAAGCUCUGUUGUAAGAGAAGAACGAGUGUGAGAGUGGAAAGUUCACACUGUGACGGUAUCUUACCAGAAAGGGACGGCUAACUACGUG
rnacentral:rRNA from 1 species